rnacentral:lncRNA from 1 species
GCUCCUUUGGCUUUCCUGGAUAUACAUACAUGUUUUGCUUUCUCUAAUAAAGAACAACAUUUAUGGGAGAAGAUGAAAUAGAACAGAGAAUAAAAGACAGGAAAAGAGCCUCACCCACUGACUUUAAGGGCCUGACCAUCCUCUGAGAUGUGUAGAACAGACUGAAGUACCUCACAUGGAUUAUCUGCCAUGAUGGCAUCCUGGUCAUGAUUUGAAGGCAAACGUUAGACCUUUGCUCAAGGCGGAAUGAUCAUAAUGAGCCUGGACUGCUGAAGCACGUUUCUGAUACUCUGCUUCUCCCUGAGUAAUGCAGAAUGGAGAAAUUUCUUUUGUCAGCGCGAUCAAUCACUGCUGUCGGAGUGAAAGAGUUCCAGUGCAGCCUUUGGCUGUUGUCGGGGAGGAUGGUUGCUGGUAUGACUUGCAAAGCCAGAUAGCUCCUCCAGCACCUUCUGUUUCUUGAGGACUUGAGUCUGGAUUCACAUGGAUUCAGAAGAAAGAGAAGUUUGUACUAAGUCCCUCUUGAAAAGACAAGAAAGUGCAGAAUGAAUCCCACUCAUGUACAUUACUACAACCACUUCAUAUUCUCUCAAAAAAAAAAAAAGGGAGAAGGGUAAUUACUGAGUUAAAUUCAAGCUUCUGAUCAUUGAUGUGAUAUUUAGGACGCUCACGCUUAGGAGAUGCAACCUUCUUUUGGUAUUAUGAUUAUGCAAACUGUAAUGACUCUGACCAUGGAAGAUGAAAUGUAUCAAAGGCUUUGCUACAUUUGAAGAUGAGAAAUAUAGAGUAUAUGUGUUUUGCAUAUGGAAAUAAAGAGACAGUCUCUCUCCUUUUUUAUUUGUAC